AGAGUUUGAUCCUGGCUCAGGAUGAACGCUGGCGGCGUGCCUAACACAUGCAAGUCGAACGGAGUUAUUCGAGGAAGUUUUCGGAUGGAAUCAAAUGACUUAGUGGCGGACGGGUGAGUAACGCGUGGGAAACCUGCCCUGUACCGG
rnacentral:rRNA from 1 species